UAUGUAGGGUGCAAGCGUUGUCCGGAAUUAUUGGGCGUAAAGAGCUCGUAGGCGGUUUGUCACGUCGGAUGUGAAACCCUGAGGCUCAACCUCAGGCCUGCAUUCGAUACGGGCAGACUAGAAUUCGGCAGGGGAGACUGGAAUUCCUGGUGUAGCGGUGAAAUGCGCAGAUAUCAGGAGGAACACCGGUGGCGAAGGCGGGUCUCUGGGCCGAUAUUGACGCUGAGGAGCGAAAGCGUGGGGAGCAAACAGG
rnacentral:rRNA from 1 species